CGGGAUGAGCUCAAAUUUAAAAUCUGGCGGUCUCAGAUCGUCCGAGUUGUAGUCUAGAGAAGCGUUUUCCGUGCUGGCCUGUGUACAAGUCCGUUGGAACACGGCGUCAUAGAGGGUGAGAAUCCCGUCCUUGACACAGAUCUCCAGUGCUUUGUGAUGCGCUCUCAAA
rnacentral:rRNA from 1 species